GAGUAACACGUGACCAACCUGCCCCUUGCUCCGGGACAACCCAGGGAAACCUCGGCUAAUACCGGAUACUCCGCGCAGCCCGCAUGGGAGGCGCGGGAAAGCCCAGACGGCAAGGGAUGGGGUCGCGGCCCAUUAGGUAGACGGCGGGGUAACGGCCCACCGUGCCCGCGAUGGGUAGCCGGGUUGAGAGACCGAUCGGCCACAUUGGGACUGAGAUACGGCCCAGACUCCUACGGGAGGCAGCAGUGGGGAAUUUUGCGCAAUGGGGGAAACCCUGACGCAGCAACGCCGCGUGCGGGACGAAGGCCUUCGGGUUGUAAACCGCUUUCAGCAGGGAAUAUAGUGAAGGUACCUGCAGAAGAAGCUCCGGCUAACUACGUGCCAGCAGCCGCGGUAAUACGUAGGGAGCGAGCGUUAUCCGGAUUCAUUGGGCGUAAAGCGCGCGUAGGCGGCCCGUCAAGCGGGGUUUCAAAUCCAGGGGCUCAACCUCUGGCCGGACCCCGAACUGGCGGGCUCGAGUGCGGUAGAGGAAGGUGGAAUUCCCAGUGUAGCGGUGAAAUGCGCAGAUAUUGGGAAGAACACCGAUGGCGAAGGCAGCCUUCUGGGCCGCCACUGACGCUGAGGCGCGAAAGCUAGGGG
rnacentral:rRNA from 1 species